GAGUGUUCUAACUAGAACACCUACAAUAUAUAAAUACUUCUUUUUUCUACUUUUACAUUCAAAAUUUUAAUUAGCCUUUUAUUAAAAUCACACAAAUUCUCAACACGCGACACUCGCGCAAAUUCGCUCCUCGACUCAGCAAACAGGCCACCAGCAGCAGCACGGCUCCAGGCCGGCCGUGCCAUCCUCAGAGUCACCCUCUCGUGGCCAGCACAGCCGCAAGAGGAGCCUAGCAGAGAAGCAGGCGGCGGCAUAGCCAGCAGCACAGCCUCAAAGAAGGAGGACCCCGGGGGCAAGCGGGGCCGCGCAGCAGCGCCCGCAACCUCCUCGGCCUCCAGACGCAGUUCGAGCAGGGGCAGCAAGACUGCUCCCGCCCCAUCUGCUGACCAAUCCUCAAGUCACACAGAAGGCGACAAGAGUCGCGCCAAAGCUUCUAAAAGCAAGAAAGCGUCAACUAAAAAAUCCCACGCUAGUAGUACCUCUUUAACACAGCCAGG